UACAGAGGGUGCGAGCGUUGUCCGGAAUUAUUGGGCGUAAAGAGCUCGUAGGCGGUCUGUUGCGUCCGCUGUGAAAACUCGGGGCUUAACCCCGAGCCUGCAGUGGAUACGGGCAGACUAGAGGUAGGUAGGGGAGAAUGGAAUUCCCGGUGUAGCGGUGAAAUGCGCAGAUAUCGGGAGGAACACCGGUGGCGAAGGCGGUUCUCUGGGCAUUACCUGACGCUGAGGAGCGAAAGUGUGGGGAGCGAACAGG
rnacentral:rRNA from 1 species